rnacentral:lncRNA from 10 species
ACGUGGUACGGAACCGGCGCCGCGCUUGCUGCUGGUAACAGGGCCUUGCCUAGUGGGCCUUCCUUCCCAGGCAUGGUGGCUCAUGUGUGUAACCUCGGCACUUUGGGAGACCAAGGCGGACAGAUCGCUUGAGUCCAGGAGUUCGAGACCAGCCUGAGUAACACGAGCAAACCCCGUCUCUACAAAAAAUACAAAAAUUAGCUGGGUGUGGUGGUGCGCACCUGCAGUCCCAGCUACUUGGGAAGCUGAGGCAGGAGGAUCAUUUGAGCCUGGGAGACAGAGGUUGCAGUGAGCCAAAAUCACAGCAAUGCACUCCUGCCUGGGUGACAGAAUGACAACCUGUCUCUAAAUAAAUAAAUAAAGUUACUCCGUAUGAACUUUAGAUUUUUAGAGGGGAGUGAGGUGUCAUUUAAAAGGAUAAUGCUUUUGCUUAAAUCAGCAUACUGCUUUUACCUUAAUUAGUGGUGUUCUCCAGAGCAUAUAAAAAUGGUUCCAUUUAAUGGCUUUGUAACGGGGGAGGUGGGGGGAAGUGAAACAGGAGUAACCCAGAAGUGUGAAUGGGAGGAGAAACUGGAACCUGGCCUAG